UACGUAGGAGGCGAGCGUUGUCCGGAGUUACUGGGCGUAAAGGGUGCGCAGGCGGCCCGACAGGUGUGUGGUGAAAUCUCCCGGCUUACCUGGGAGGGGGCCACGCAAACCGUUGGGCUUGAGGCUCGGGGAGGGGCGUGGAAUUCCGGGUGGAGCGGUGAAAUGCGUAGAGAUCGGAAAGAACACCAACGGCGAAAGCACUCUGCUGGGCCGACACUGACACUGAGAGACGAAAGCUAGGGGAGCGAAUGGG
rnacentral:rRNA from 1 species